CACGGACUUUACCGCCAUAAACUUUGCAGCCCUUGGACAGCGGAGCGAGUUUUCACGGUGUAUUCGAAGCACGGUGUAUUCAGUGCAACAACUUGGUUCGAAAGAAGUAAAUAUAAUUCUAUUGCACCCGUCGAAGCUCUCCGUGUUUUCUUGGGUCUGAGGGACUGCUACAGUUUAGAAACCCUCCAGAGAAAUCUCCCGUAUCGCCUUUUCUAGGCUGCAGACGUCAUUUCACCUCCAACAGGCUUCCUCCCCUCUGACUCUGCUGGACUUCCAGAUAUUUAACCUCCUGAGCCGCCAUUAGCGCCCUCAGCGUCUCCGAGUUCACGUAGGUUCUGUCGUACAUCCAGCUGGCCAUCAUGUGGGCGUUACGGCUGCUGAGGUCACAUGUGGGCGUCUUAAAAUUUCCAGUUGACACAUAAACUCGUUAAGAAGAAGAAGUUAAACUGUACGGAGCUCAUCUUAAAUCAUUACCCUAUGGCUCUGGAAGCAUCUUUUUAAUCUUUUCUCUGCAGUGGGUUAACGUUUAACCGUACGCUUCUCAUUAAAUGGAAGCAUUUCAAUAAAAAUUGUAUAAUAAAGCGCAGUAGGUUGUAUUAUCUGGAAAUGCACAGCCCUCAGAGCUGCUGCUAUAUGACAGUCUAUCUUUAGAGAACUUAUCUAUAGCCUGACGGACCUGAGGCACAUUCACAUUCCCAGCUGCUGUUAAACCUUGUGGCAGCUAAUAAUAAGCAGACGAAACCCGGAUGAAGUGCCCAGUCCUUUGCAGAACCAUUGUUCCCUGUGUGUCCUUCCUAAUAAACCCAGAAGGGUCUGAAAAGCAAACUAAAGAUUAUUAAACACGCAGAACCAAUUCCACAUAAUACACAUUUACUAAUACUUAUGUAAUAGGCAUGUUUUUAAACGGAGAUUUAUUUUUCUGUCUAGUAAAGGUCGUUGUUCAGUUCGUUCAUGGCCUCUCUAAGGCUUUAGUGAAUAACGUGGACACGUCAUUACUGCCCCCUUCUGGUGAAACUGUGGCAGGAAAGCAGCUUCACAGGAUCUUGUGCAACAAGUUGAAGCAGGAUAAAAUCUGAUCUAAUCAUAUUUAUGUUUUUCUGUGCAGCUGACCGCACUUUUAUACUAAACCUGAAAUGUUAGUUACAUUAUACAAACCACAUCACAAUUUAUCCGGUUUGUAUACAGUAAACAGAUUUUUAAAAAGUGUAUUGCUUGAUCGGUGUAUUGCCUACUUGCUUUAGAGCAGUCAGACAUUUUUAGAGGAUUUUAGACCAAUAAUAUGUACAGAAAUGGACAAUUUUGCUGGUAUCCCUCCACUAUAAAUG